UACGUAGGGUGCAAGCGUUAAUCGGAAUUACUGGGCGUAAAGCGUGCGCAGGCGGCUUUGCAAGACAGAUGUGAAAUCCCCGGGCUUAACCUGGGAACUGCAUUUGUGACUGCAUGGCUAGAGUGCGGCAGAGGGGGAUGGAAUUCCGCGUGUAGCAGUGAAAUGCGUAGAUAUCUGGAGGAACACCGGUGGCGAAGGCGGCGUUCUGGACUGUUUCUGACACUGAAUAACGAAAGCCAGGGGAGCAAACGGG
rnacentral:rRNA from 1 species